ensembl:lncRNA
UGCACAUAGCAGGGGGUUGAAACUCAAUGAUCAUUGUGGACCUUUUCAACCCAGGCCAUUGUAUGAUUCUACGAUUCUAUGAACUGAAACUUAUGGUAGGCAAUGUGAUUCCCAAUUUGUUUGGGAACAAAAUACACUCUUGAAAUGCUGAGAACAAUAGUCUUCUCUGCCGUAUGGUACUCUCUGGACCCUGAAAUACACACAUUUCCUUCAGUUGCACUCAUCAAGGUAGUAAAUAUAAUGAGUUUGUAAAAAUCUGGGGUGAUUUCACCAGAAAAAAUAAAAAAAAAAACCAUAAAAUAUGUUAUACUGAAUUUAGCAGGAACGAACUGUGAAAUUGUACUGGUCUUAGGCUGAAGGAUGGAAAAUUUAAUCAGUCCUUCAUCAGUAAUUCCAAGAUACUUAAUUAUCAAAAAAUGUAUGUUGUUCCUCUCAGCUAAAUUAGGCUUGAGACUAUAUAUUCAUUUCAGCAACUCUUCAAAGACAGGUAAAUAAUGUAAAUCUUAGGAAGAAUGAAGAACCACUAAGUGCAAAUUAGUUACAAUGCCAGUACCAAAUUUUAGUCAGAAAAUGCAGAAUUCUGACGUGCUGAUUACAGCUGCAAUUAAUAGUGUCAGCUCACUGGGAAUGCAUUGACAAAUCUGAUUCAUACCUAUCAGGUCCAAAUGCCCUUUUCUCCUCAAGGUGCCAGCUCUAGGAAAGCUUUGUCAGCUUUCUCUUCUGAACAGCUUUUAUGUCCUCAUGAGUGCGGCGGAGAGGAGAUAUUAUAAAUUAAGAUAUUUUUCUGCACGAUUCUCACAGUAAACCAAUUAAUAACUUACACAUUCUUAUCACAGAAUCACUGAAUGGCUUGUGCUGGAGGAGACCUCAAAGAUCAUCUAGUUCCAACCGCCUGCCUUGGGUAGGGUUGCCAACCACUAAAUCAGGCAUCAGAUCAGGUUGUCCAGGACCCAUCCAACCUGGCCUCGAACACCUCCAGGGAUGGGGCACCCACAGCACCCUAAUCUUCAUCCAUGUUGCCCUAUGUAGCAAAAAUAAUAAAUAAAUAAAUAAAAUUCACAAUGUAUUUGGAAAAAUUCUGGGCCUAUAUGUAAUCCUUAUUGCAUUCUGUAGGAUGUAGGUCAGUGACAUUGUUUUUGACAGUCAAACACAUAACAGAAAUAUUCCAUUAUGGAUGCAUUUG